rnacentral:rRNA from 1 species
GAUGAACGCUGGCGGCGUGCCUAAUACAUGCAAGUCGAGCGAAUGGAUUAAGAGCUUGCUCUUAUGAAGUUAGCGGCGGACGGGUGAGUAACACGUGGGUAACCUGCCCAUAAGACUGGGAUAACUCCGGGAAACCGGGGCUAAUACCGGAUAACAUUUUGAACCGCAUGGUUCGAAAUUGAAAGGCGGCUUCGGCUGUCACUUAUGGAUGGACCCGCGUCGCAUUAGCUAGUUGGUGAGGUAACGGCUCACCAAGGCAACGAUGCGUAGCCGACCUGAGAGGGUGAUCGGCCACACUGGGACUGAGACACGGCCCAGACUCCUACGGGAGUCAGCAGUAGGGAAUCUUCCGCAAUGGACGAAAGUCUGACGGAGCAACGCCGCGUGAGUGAUGAAGGCUUUCGGGUCGUAAAACUCUGUUGUUAGGGAAGAACGAGUGCUAGUUGAAUAAGCUGGCACCUUGACGGUACCUAACCAGAAAGCCACGGCUAACUACGUGCCAGCCGCCGCCGCGG